rnacentral:rRNA from 1 species
AUUGAACGCUGGCGGCAGGCCUAACACAUGCAAGUCGAACGAGUGGCGGACGGGUGAGUAAUGUCUGGGAAACUGCCUGAUGGAGGGGGAUAACUACUGGAAACGGUAGCUAAUACCGCAUACCAUACGAUGUGCCGAGAUGGGUUUAGCUAGUGGGUGGGGUAACGGCUCACCAAGGCGACGAUCCCUAUCUGGUCUGAGAGGAUGACCAGCCACACUGGAACUGAGACACGGGCCAGACUCCUACGGUAGGCAGCAGUGGGGAAUAUUGGACAAUGGGCGCAAGCCUGAUGCAGCCAUGCCGCGUGUAUGAAGAAGGUCUUCGGGUUGUAAAGUACUUUCAGCGGGGAGGCGUUACCCGCAGAAGAAGCACCGGCUAACUCCGUGCCAGCAGCCGCGGUAAUAC